rnacentral:rRNA from 1 species
AGUUUGAUCAUGGCUCAGGAUGAACGCUGGCGGCGUGCUUAACACAUGCAAGUCGAACGGACCUCUUGUAGCAGUAUGAGAGGUGAGUGGCAAACGGGUGCGUAACACGUGGGUACCUACCUCGAAGUGUGGAAUAACGACCCGAAAGGGUCGCUAAUACCGCAUGUGCUCGGGAGAGUAAAGUCUGUCGCAAGACCGACGCUUCGAGAGGGGCCUGCGUCCCAUCAGGUAGUUGGUGAGGUAAUGGCCCACCAAGCCGAUGACGGGUAGCUGGUCUGAGAGGACGAUCAGCCACACUGGCACUGAGACACGGGCCAGACUCCUACGGGAGGCAGCAGUGAGGAAUAUUGCACAAUGGGCGAAAGCCUGAUGCAGCAACGCCGCGUGCGGGAGGAAGGCCUUCGGGUCGUAAACCGCUUUUCGGGGGGACGAGUGAGGACGGUACCCCCGGAAUAAGUCUCGGCUAACUACGUGCCAGCAGCCGCGGUAAAACGUAGGAGGCGAGCGUUAUCCGGAUUCACUGGGCGUAAAGCGCGUGUAGGUGGUUCGCUAAGUCGAAUGUGAAAGCCCCCGGCUUAACUGGGGGAGGUCAAUCGAUACUGGUGGACUUGAGGGUAGGAGAGGAAGGUGGAAUUCCCGGUGUAGCGGUGGAAUGCGUA